UCAUUCAAUGUACCUUACGCCUAUACAC
rnacentral:sRNA from 1 species